UACGUAGGGAGCAAGCGUUGUCCGGAAUCAUUGGGCGUAAAGCGCGCGUAGGCGGCCCUGUAAGUCCGCUGUGAAAGUCAAAGGCUCAACCUUUGAAAGCCGGUGGAUACUGCAGGGCUAGAGUCCGGAAGAGGCGAGUGGAAUUCCUGGUGUAGCGGUGGAAUGCGCAGAUAUCAGGAGGAACACCGGUGGCGAAGGCGGCAUCCUGGACCAACACUGACGCUGAGUGAGCGAAAGCCAGGGGAGCAAACGGG
rnacentral:rRNA from 1 species